GCUGAGGUAGUGGAACUUGGUCCCGCGCGCGGUGAGCACGCGCUUGGCGCGCCGCGGGUUCGGGUUCUGCUUCAUCCC
rnacentral:tRNA from 1 species